rnacentral:rRNA from 1 species
UACAGAGACUGCAAGCGUUAUUCGGAUUCACUGGGCGUAAAGGGUGCGCAGGCGGCUAUGUGUGUGAGGCGUGAAAGCCCGGGGCUUAACCCCGGAAUUGCACCUCAAACUACAUGGCUUGAAUCCGGGAGAGGGAUGCGGAAUUCCAGGUGUAGCGGUGAAAUGCGUAGAUAUCUGGAGGAACACCGGUGGCGAAGGCGGCAUCCUGGACCGGCAUUGACGCUGAGGAGCGAAAGCCAGGGGAGCAAACGGG